CAAGAUCUGUACCACCUGUGGCUGCUCUUGCUGUGCCUUCGUCAACAGCUAGGUCCGUAGUAACAGGUCACAAGAACUCGGAUCCUUUCAACAGUAGCAAGAGAAGAGUGCCUAAUGGCCCUGAUCCUAUUCACAACAGAAGAGCUGGGAAGUCGGGAAGACCUCCAAGUAGAGCAUGAUGACGACCAGAGGACGAGGCAUGUAAACUUCCUCUGCUUGGAAGAUGGAUUAGAGAAUAUAUACACAAUCAUGUAGCCAAUAUGCCAUCUCUUGACACUCUGCAGCAUUGACCAUAAAACACUUGCUUUGCCAAAGUAAUUUUCUUUAUCGAGCGUAUUAAAGGUGAUGAAGCUUCCCUCACCAAAAAGGAAAAAAAAACCUCUCGAGAUUCUUGAAGAGGAAAACAAGAGAUUUUGCAGUUGCAUUGAUGACUGAGAAAGAUUAGAUUGAUUUGCCAAAGAAGGAAUUAUCAACUGAACAAGGACAAGCAAUUGAUUCAAGCACCAAACUUGUAACAAGAUAUGUAUUCAAUUGAGCUGACAGUCUGGUUUCUUGUUCCUUGGACUUUAUUAGUGGAUGGCAACUUUUGCUUUCGUUUCA